GCGCCCAUAGUUCAAUGGAUAGAAUAGUGGCCUCCGAAGCCAUUGAUACAGGUUCGACUCCUGUUGGGCGCACCA
rnacentral:tRNA from 1 species